ensembl:lncRNA
GGUUUAAGGGGUGUGGGAAAGUCCCAAGAGAAAGAUGAGUGCUUAAAUAAUUAACUGGAAAAAGAAAAAAGAUGUGACUGUCCUUGUACCUUGAGUUGAUGGAGGCCAUUCCAUGGGUUACAGAGUGGGAACAUAUGACUUGGAGUUGGAAGAACGAGUUGGAGAUUUGUAGGAAGGCGAAGUUAAAGGGUGACAUUCGUGGCAGACAAAAGAGCAACUGCAAAGACCUAAAAGAAUCUGGUCUGUUAGAGAAGUGACUGUUGGUGCCGGCUGUAGGGUUUAUGUGGGAGAAAGAGAAAGGGAUAAAGCUGGAAAGGAUUUCCAGAUCCUGCUGGAGCUAAUAGAGUUGGUUCACAAGCAUAUUUGUCAGAAACAAGAACCUCUCAAAUCAAGAUCUUUCUCUGUACCCACAGGACAAAAGAGAAACUUUGAAGAUAUAAUCAGAGGACCUUGAAAGAACAGCUACCUGUAUUUAAUUAUUGGGUUUUGCAGGAAACAGAACCUAGGACCAAAGCUCACAUGGAGGCCAAAGCUUCUUAAGGAGUUUGGUUCCAGGGAAGCAGGAGUGAAGGAAAGGUACAGUGAGGGGGACAAUAAUGGAAAAAAAAAAAAAGCUGAGAAACACUGCUGUAGUGCCUACAUCUUCUCUGUGGCUUUGGAAACUGCCCAUGAUAAGCAGAUGUGUAUCUUUUUGUUAUGUCCCUCAGAUGAAACCAACACCUUAAAAAUAUUUCCCAUUAUGGCUCUUCUUAAGAUGAAUUCGUGGGAAAAGAAUUGGAAAAGGACCUUCUACAGAUUCUGGGGACGGACAGCUGAAUGCUUCGCCAGCCCUGCGCCUCCACAUACCCCCUUGCCCUAAAUCCCCGCCUCCUUUCCCCCAAUACUCCGUCUAUCCCGUGUGGCGGCUUUCCUCAAAUGGCCAGUAAGGGCCAGGCCUUGUAAAACUUCAAAAGUCCUAAUUUGGGCCAACUGUAAAUUUUUUAUGUUUUUUUCUCCCUUGGAAAUAUUCAUAUGGUUACUUCCAGUCAAGACACAGUUUCUGGAGGCAGCUUGCAUGGCUGACAGGGAGUUACCUGCCCUUGACAUUGGAAAAAAUGUGCCGAUACCUCCAGUAACCCCUGGGGGCCCAUCAUGACCUCUAUUCAUGUACUUAUUCGCUACUGGGGUACCCGCACCCAAGGAUAUCUAAGUCUAGACUCACCUGGACAAUCUCAUUUGAGUCCCUUAUCAAGAAAGUGAGGCUACUGGUAUCAUCUCCUCUUAUUUAUAAACAACAAAAAAGUUGGCUAAGAUAGAUCUAGUGACUGAACUGAGAUUACACAGCUAAUAAGUAGUAAGGUCAGGACAGCCCCCUCCCCAACCACACACUCUGGAAUGUUA